AGGAUGAACGCUGGCGGCGUGCCUAACACAUGCAAGUCGAACGUCCUGUCUCGCAAGAGGCAGGGAGUGGCGGACGGGUGAGUACCACGUGGGUCAUCUACCGUGAGGUGAGGAAUACCGGCGAGAAAUCGCCGACAAGACCGCAUAGGCUCGAUGCAAGUCGAGCAAAGCUCUUUCGAGAGAGGGAGCGCCACACGAGGAGCCUGCGCCCGAUUAGCUAGCUGGUGGAGUAACGGUUCACCAGGGCGACGAUCGGUAGCUGGUCUGAGAGGACGAUCAGCCACACUGGGAUUGAGAACGGCCCAGACUCCUACGGGGGGCAGCAGUGAGGAAUUUUCGUCAAUGGGGGCAACCCUGAACGAGCAACGCCGCGUGCAGGAAGAAGGUUUUCGGAUCGUAAACUGACUUUUCUCGGGGAAGAGAAUGGACGGUACCCGAGGAAUCAGCCCCGGCUAACUACGUGCCAGCAGCCGCGGU
rnacentral:rRNA from 1 species